GUGUCAGCCGCCGCGGUAAUACGUAGGGUGCUAGCGUUGUUCGGAAUCAUUGGGCGUAAAGCGCGUGUAGGUGGUCAUGUAAGUCGGAUGUGAAAUCCCUGGGCUCAACCGAGGAAGUGCAUCCGAAACUGCAUGGCUAGAGGACGGUAGAGGGAGGUGGAAUUCCAAGUGUAGAGGUGAAAUUCGUAGAUAUUUGGAGGAAUACCUGUGGCGAAGGCGGCCUCCUGGGCCGUUCCUGACACUGAGACGCGAAAGCGUGGGGAGCAAACAGGAUUAGAAACCCCCGUAGUCC
rnacentral:rRNA from 1 species